GCUUUGGCAGAGCACAAAAUGAAAUUGGAACAAUAUAGAAAAGGUUAGUAGGGCCCCUGUGAGAGGAUAUCACACAAAUUCAUGAAGUAUUCCAGAUAGAU